ACUUUUAAAGGAUAACAGUUAUCCAUUGGUCUUAGGAACCAAACACAUUGGUGUAAUUCCAAAUAAAAGUA
rfam:Chlorocebus sabaeus isolate 1994-021 chromosome 29, whole genome shotgun sequence.